rnacentral:misc_RNA from 1 species
GUAUUUCAAUGCGUUAAACGCGAUGUACAUUCCAUGAGACUUUGUUGCAGUGUGUGUGUGUAAAGACGUAGAACCACAGCAGGGGGGACAGAGCCCAUCCAGGCCAUAGAACUACAGAGGGUGCACAGGUGUGAGUGGAUGUGUAAACAGAGCGUGCACAUGCCCCCAUGCAGGGACCAGCAACAGCUCUUGUUGACAAUUCGGUAAUGAUCCUUCCGCAGGUUCACCUACGGAAA